rnacentral:rRNA from 1 species
GAUGAACGCUGGCGGCGUGCCUAAUACAUGCAAGUCGAGCGAACAGACGAGGAGCUUGCUCCUCUGACGUUAGCGGCGGACGGGUGAGUAACACGUGGAUAACCUACCUAUAAGACUGGGAUAACUUCGGGAAACCGGAGCUAAUACCGGAUAAUAUAUUGAUCCGCAUGGUUCAUUAGUGAAAGACGGUUUUGCUGUCACUUAUAGAUGGAUCCGCGCCGCAUUAGCUAGUUGGUAAGGUAACGGCUUACCAAGGCAACGAUGCGUAGCCGACCUGAGAGGGUGAUCGACCACACUGGAACUGAGACACGGUCCAGACUCCUACGGGAAGGCGCAGUAGGGAAUCUUCCGCAAUGGGCGAAAGCCUGACGCAGCAACGCCGCGUGAGUGAUGAAGGUCUUAGGAUCGUAAAACUCUGUUAUUAGGGAAGAACAAAUGUGUAAGUAACUAUGCACGUCUUGACGGUACCUAAUCAGAAAGCCACGGCUAACUACGUG